rnacentral:rRNA from 1 species
GAUGAACGCUGGCGGCGUGCCUAAUACAUGCAAGUCGAGCGAACAGACGAGGAGCUUGCUCCUCUGACGUUAGCGGCGGACGGGUGAGUAACACGUGGAUAACCUACCUAUAAGACUGGGAUAACUUCGGGAAACCGGAGCUAAUACCGGAUAAUAUAUUGAACCGCAUGGUUCAAUAGUGAAAGACGGUUUUGCUGUCACUUCUAGAUGGAUCCGCGCCGCAUUAGCUAGUUGGUAAGGUAACGGCUUACCAAGGCAACGAUGCGUAGCCGACCUGAGAGGGUGAUAGGCCACACUGGAACUGAGACACGGUCCAGACGCCUAAGGGAGGCAGCAGUAGGGAAUCUUACGCAAUGGGCGAAAGCCUGACGGAGCAACGCCGCGUGAGUGAUGAAGGUCUUCGGAUCGUAAAACUCGGUUAUUAGGGAAGAACAAAUGUGUAAGUAACUAUGCACGUCUUGACGGUACCGAAUCAGAAAGCCACGGCUAACUACGUG